AUACGGAGGGUGCAAGCGUUAUUCGGAAUCACUGGGCGUAAAGGACGCGUAGGCGGGUUGGCAAGUCAGAUGUGAAAUCCUACAGCUUAACUGUAGAACUGCAUUUGAAACUGCUAACCUAGAGUCUGGGAGGGGGAGAUGGAAUUAGUGGUGUAGGGGUAAAAUCCGUAGAUAUCACGAGGAAUACCGAAAGCGAAGGCGAUCUCCUGGAACAUAACUGACGCUAAGGCGUGAAAGCGUGGGGAGCAGACAGGAUUAGAAUCCCGAGUAGUCC
rnacentral:rRNA from 1 species